rnacentral:rRNA from 1 species
UACGUAGGUUGCGAGCGUUAAUCGGAAUUACUGGGCGUAAAGCGUGCGCAGGCGGUUUUGUAAGUCAGAUGUGAAAUCCCCGGGCUUAACCUGGGAACUGCGUUUGAAACUACAAGGCUAGAGUGUGGCAGAGGGGGGUGGAAUUCCACGUGUAGCAGUGAAAUGCGUAGAGAUGUGGAGGAACACCGAUGGCGAAGGCAGCCCCCUGGGUUAACACUGACGCUCAGGCACGAAAGCGUGGGGAGCAAACAGG